rnacentral:rRNA from 1 species
CAAAAACAUGUCUUAUUGAUUAUAAAUAUUAAGUCAGGCCUGCCCAAUGAUUAAUUUAAUGGCUGCAGUAAUUUAACUGUACAAAGGUAGCAUAAUAAUUAGUUUUUUAAUUGAGGACUAGAAUGAAUGGUUUUAUGAGAUAUUUACUUUAUUAAAUUAAUUGAUAUAAUUUUAUUUUUUAGUUAAAAAGCUAAAAUAUUUAUAUAAGACGAGAAGACCCUAUAGAUUUUGAUAAUUAUAUUUUAUAUUGUAAAUUAAGAAUUUAAAAUUAUUAUUUAUAUAUUUAUUUUAUUGGGGUGAUAGUAGAAUUUAAUUAACUUUUAUAGUAAAGAUAUACAUUAAUAUGUGAAUUAUUGAUCCAUUUUUGAUGAUUAUUAAAUUAAAUUACCUUAGGGAUAACAGCAUAAUUUAUUUGGAAAGUUCUUAUUAAUAAGUAAGUUUAUGACCUCGAUGUUGGAUUAAGAUAAAUUUUAGGAGCAUAAAUUUAUGUAUUAAGUCUGUUCGACUUUUAAAAUCUUACAUGAUCUGAGU